CAAGUUGAAAUUCAGAAAAGAUUUGUAAACAAAGUCUCUGAUUGGACUAUAAGAAAGGGGGAAGCACCAAUCCAGUUGCUCAGACUAUUUGAUUGGCUUCCCUCUUUCUUAUAAUCCAAUCAGAGGGUUUGUUUACAAAUCUUUUGUGAAUUUCCAACUUGCAAUUUGUUCGCGUCGGUUGCAAUUUGCUCAGAGCAAUCUGCCUAUCAAAAUUGCAAUAUUGUGGGGCAAUAUUGCAAUGUUGCUCGCAAGAGAACAUCCGGUUUGACUGUAAGUUAUAUAUAUACUACUUAUUCUGCAUUUUCGUCUGUUCCUAGUGAAAGUAGUGCGGUAUUCUUAUAUAGGAUUAAAUAAACAAAUGUCGUAAAAAAACUAAGUCUACAAAUAUUGAAACAAGCUCAGUCGAUAAGUUAUUUAUUCUGUGGCUAAAAACAACAGCAUUCUUCGAAAAACAAUGCUUAGGCCAUGUAUAAAAAAAUAUAUCCUGGUUUAUCAUCACUCAGUGAUUCAAGUGAUGGUAUCUGUUUUUCGUACCGCAUGGAAUUUUUGUUUAUUUUUUUCAAAUAAAAAUUAUUGUUUUCAGUAGUCUUUCGACAUCAUAAGUGUAAUAACAUUCGAAAAUAUUAUUCCAUAGGAUUGUUGAUGCGUGAUUUGAACAUAUUCUUCUGUGCAUCCUAUUAAUUAAAUGUCAAUGUGUGAUUCGGUAAAAUUAAAAAAAAUCGCGGAAUUUUUCUGCUGCUACACUGAUGAUAGGAUAUUUUUUUACAGACAAAAAAAAUCGCGGAAUUUUUCUUGGAAAUUAAAUUAAUGUCAAUAUGUGGUUCAGUAAAAUUUUUAAAAAAAUCACGGAAUUUUUUUUAAUUGGGAUAUUUUUUACGUGCCUUAAAUUGUUUGCAACUGUUACACUAUUUGAACAUCUGCAAACAAUUUUUGGCUAAGAUACAAUAGAACGAUAACAACAUAUUGUUAUCGUUCUAUAUGCUGCACUUUGCGGAUGGACCGUAUUUCCGUGUAUCAUAGUGUGGUUUAACCUCUUUAAAUUCACCCCCUUCGCUUUUUGCCGUUUACUUUUACAGUUUACUAUGCAGUUUGCUAUACAAAAAUAUCGGACAAGGCCUGGUCGCAUGGCGAGGAGGCAAAUUCGGGUGAACAUCGUGCGCAAAUGCAUGUGUGGCUGAUAUUUUUCUAGACUGAAAAACCCAAUAUGCUUAAGCUUUUUGCAUCUAAGUAGUUUAUGAACCGCAGAACGGCGCGAACAUGUUUUUUGACUGUUUUUCCAAGGGUAUAAAACCCUCAUUUGCGGUUAAAUUUCAUCCUUGUAUGAAAGAGUAAUGACGUAGUUUUUGAUGCUCGUUGCUCGUGAUCGCUUUUGUGGCAAAAUGUGCACCCAAGGAUAAAAUCGACACCAUGGUGCAUUGAAUGGUCCCAUUGUACACCAUGGUGCAUUGAAUGGUUUCAUUGAAUGUACCAUCUAUAUAUUAACCGAUACCAUCUAUUAACGGCAAGCGUGACACUGUUUUUUUAAAGUAAACGUACAAAGAUAUCUUCUUUGGAAUAGCAAGGUUAGUAGCGUUUUACCUUCUUUGUGUGCUUUGAUACUGUGUCUUUCAGCAAACAUAUAUGUUAAAAAAUAAAUUCCUGUACAGUCAAAGAAAUAUUUAUACUGUAACUAAGACGUUUUAGAUUUUUUCACAUUCCUUUAUGAUUAAAAAACAAUGUGCUAUUUCUUAAUUGUUGAGCAAUCUUAAGAAUGUUUGGAUUUGAAAACCAGUUUAUAACUGGUAUAGAAGAUCUAAAAUUAUGUAGGUAUAUACAUCAUCAGUAAUCCUUUCCUGAACUUCAAUUUUGUUUCAUUUUGUUUGUACUGUAGAUUGUGUACCAUAGCUUUGAAACAAACUUCACUCUGCUUAAAAGUUCCAGAAAGCGCUCUCUGAAAGGUAUCUUUAAAAUAUUUAAUUACCAUGUAUAGUCCAUUCUAAACGUCUAUAUAUAUACAUUGAUAUUUAAAGCUACCUCCCUCUCACAAUGCUGCAACCAAAAAGAGGACUUUGUUUUCUUUUAUAUAUAUACCGGAGCCUGUUUCAAGUGUUUAUAUUUUAAAUAUCCAGCGAGUUUAACCCAGCUUAAAAGAGAUCAUUAUGUUAAAUACACCAAAAUGUAAAGUACAUUUGACAUGGAACUGUUUAUUGUUUUACACGUAAAAACUCUUAAAAUUGUCGAGUAACUUCUUUGAUAGAUUUUUAUUGAUAUUUCAUUUUCUUUGAUGCAUUGCAACCAAUUUGACGUCAUAUUGACGUCAUUUCAAUAUAAUGAGAUGUUAUAGAAAAGUCUCAAAUUUUUGUUAAUGUCAUGAAAUGUGAGUGUUUGAAAAUCAGCUUUGUGGGAGGAAUAAGUAUCUCUGCCUCUUGCAAGUAAUUUUCAGUGAAAAAAAGGGCAGAAAUAAAACAUUCAUGCACUACUGCCUCAUUAUUAAUGCAUGCAUGCAUGACGUCAAGUCGUAAUUGCAUUGCAACGAGAGUAAAAUAUGUCAACAUUGAUACAUGGAUACUGUAUAAAAAAUACUAGCAGUUUUCAAAGUCCUUUCGUUUUAAGACAAUAAACUGUUUUGUGUCAUAUUUAUGCAUUGUUUGACACUUAUAUAUAUAUAUAUAUCCUGCUUUUUCCACGUUAUACCUAUUCCAAAUUCUAAGCAAAUAGCGGCAUUUUUAAUACGAUAAGACGCUGGGACUUAUUCCACUUCAAAGUUGUUUGGAUAAAAACUUAAUUUGUGCCUAGUCAAUUCCAUUCUGGAUUUGUUGAUAAUUCACGCCUGUGUGUUUUAUAUUCACAGUUUGUCUAAGAAUGUGAAGAAGCGUGAAUCAGAUUGAAAAUAUUGUACGCUUUGUGGAAGGAGAGAUUGUUGAAUAUAGCCUACUGGUUACUG